rnacentral:rRNA from 1 species
AGAGAGAUUCCGUCACCACCAAAAGAGUUAAGCACAGGGACACAUAUGAAGUCUCAGAGCCGGGUGUUGGUUCCGGUAGAGAUCGAGGGAAAUUAGUACCGAAGUCUGAGAUGGAAGAUGGCGAGAAAAGCUGUGUGUAUUUCUGAGGUGCCCGUACCGCAAACCGACACAGGUAGGUAGGAAGAAGAUUCUAAGGCCAACGGGAGAAGGGUUGUUAAGGAACUCGGCAAAUUGACCCCGUAACUUCGGGAGAAGGGGUGCUCCAGAGAUGGAGCCGCAGAGAAUCGGCCCAAGCAACUGUUUACCAAAAACACAGGUUUGUGCUAAAUCGAAAGAUGACGUAUACGAGCUGACGCCUGCCCGGUGCUGGAAGGUUAAGAGGAGAUGUGCAAGCAUUGAAUCGAAGCCCCAGUGAACGGCGGCCGUAACAAUAACGGUCCUAAGGUAGCGAAAUUCCUUGUCAGGUAAGUUCUGACCCGCAUGAAAGGCGUAAUGAUUUGGGCACUGUCUCAACAGCCCGCCCGGCGAAAUUGUAGUACCGGUGAAGAUGCCGGUUACCCGCGACAAGACGGAAAGACCCCAUGGAGCUUUACUGUAGCCUAAUAUUGGGUUUCGAUGUUGCAUGCACAGGAUAGAUGGGACUCUGGGAAACUAAGGCUUUGGCUUUGGCGGAGAGGCCGUUGGGAUACCAUCCUUGCGAUAUUGGAAUUCUAACCUGCGGCUCCGAAUCGAGUCGGGGGACAUUGUUAGGUGGGCAGUUUGACUGGGGCGGUCGCCUCCUAAAGAGUAACGGAGGCGUUCAAAGGUUCGCUCAGCUUGAACGGAAAUCAAGCAAAAGAGUGCAAACGCAGAAGCGAGCCUAACUGCGAGACUGACGGGUCGAGCAGUAACGAAAGUUGGAGUUAGUGAUCCGGUGGUAUGUGAGUGGAAAUGCCAUCGCUCAACGGAUAAAAGUUACCCUGGGGAUAACAGGAUGAUCUCCCCCAAGAGUCCACAUCGACGGGGAGGUUUGGCACCUCGAUGUCGGCUCAUCGCAUCCUGGGGCUGUAUUCGGUCCCAAGGGUUUGGCUGUUCGCCAAUUAAAGCGGUACGCGAGCUGGGUUCAGAACGUCGUGAGACAGUUCGGUCCCUAUCUGUCGUGGGCGCAGGAUAUUUGAUGGGAGCUGUCCCUAGUACGAGAGGACCGGGACGGACGUACCUCUGGCGCACCAGUUGUUCCGCCAGGAGCAUAGCUGGGCAACUACGUACGGAUCGGAUAAACGCUGAAAGCAUCUAAGCGUGAAGCCGACCCAAAGAUAAGAUAUCCCACUGAUUGAAUCAGGUAAGAUCCCUUGUAGACUACGAGGUUGAUAGGCACGAUGUGUAAGUGGAGCGAUCCAUUCAGCAAGUGUGUACUAAUAGAUCGAGGGCUUGACC